UGGCGACUGCGUGGGUAUGGGCCACCUGCUUCCUAUCCCCAGCACUGUUCCGGCAGCGUCUGGGCCUCUUUAAGGGCAGAGCAAGGCAGCGGAGGGUGCAGUGAGCUCUGUUCAUCUAAUCAUGUUCCCAAAUCCUGUAGUGUUCUCUCCAAUCAAGGCCAUUUUCUGCAGUCUUUGAGGAACUGAGAUGAUGAGGCCCAGGAUGGUUCAAAUCAGACUCUGAGAAGAGGGCAUCUGUAGCAGAGCGUGUGGAACCUUCAGAGGAAUGUCUCUUUCUAAAUACCUAAUUAUGAAACCAUCAUCAAAAGGAAAGAAAAAAUACUGAACAAGAAGAUAUUUGUGAACGAUAAAUCUGAUAAGGUGUUAAUAACCCAAAUAUCAAAAAAUCAUAUAACUCAAUACCCUAAAAAAUCUGAUCUAAAAAUGGAUAGAGGACCUGAGUAAACAUUUUUGCAAAGUAGACAUACAGACAGCAGAUACAUGGAAAGAUGCUCACCAUCACUAAUCAUCAGGUAAAUACAAAUCAAAACCACAAUGAGAGAUCACCUCACACCUGUCAAUAUGGCGAGUAGUAAAAAGACAAGAAAGAAUAAGUGUUGGCAAGGAUGUGGGGAAAAGAGAACCCUCGUGCACUGUUGGUGGGAAUGUAAAUUGGUACAUCCACUAUGGAAAACAGCAGGAAGGUCCUCAAAAAAUUAAAAAUAGAAAUACCAUACAAUCCAGUGAUUCUACUUUUGUAGUAUUUACCCCCCUCCCAACGAAAACACUAACUGAGAACGAUAUAUUCACCCCUAUGUUCAUGGUAGUUUUAUUGACAAUAGCCAAGAUAUGGAAGUAAGUUAAGUGUGUCCAUCAAUAGAUGAAUGGCUAAAGAUACGGUGAGUUUGUGUGCAUGUGUGUAUAAACAUUUGUUUAGAAAAAGCCAUGAAAACAAAACCUUGUCAUUUGCAGCAACAUGGAUGGACCUCCAGAGUAUUAUUAUGUUAAGGGAAAUAAGUCAGACGGAGAAAGACAAAUACGGUAUUAUUUCACUUAUAUGUGGAGUCUAAAAACCAAAAUAAAUAAACCAACAAAACCAGAGACAGACUCAUGGAUACACAGAGCAAACGGGUGGUUGCCAGAGCAGAGAGAGGUGGGGCGGUGGUCAAAAUAGAUGAAGGCGAUUAAGAGGUACCAACUUCUGGUUCUAAAAUAAAUAAGUCAUUGAGAUGUGGAGCACAGCACAGGGAACACAGUCCAUGAUAUUGUCACAACUUUGCAUGGUGACAGAUGGAACUAGACUUACGACGGGGAGCACUUCACAGUGUAUGUAAAUGUCAAAUCACUACGCUGACCUGAAACUAACAUCAUAUUGUAUGUCCUCUAUACCUCAAUUAAAAUUUUUUUAAUUGAUUUAUUUUCAAGACUAAGAAAACCAAUUCAGUAAAAUACUAGAGCAAUCUACCAACUCCACCUCUGAAUUGAGAAACUCCUUGGGGAUUUCAAAGGCGGGCCUGCAGAACAGACUAGGCCACCCCAAAAUAUGCCAGUUUCAGCAUACUCAUUAUUUGGAAUUAAAGUUACUCAAGAAACAGCUGUGCAAGGACACUCUGAACCUCCUUUGUCCCCCUGAGAGCAGAAAAUAAAUCUCCCAUUUGAAGACACCCACCCUGUACCAGGAGGGUAGAAAAUGUCUUUACCCCCAGAGAGGGGGAAUUCAAGGCCAAAAAUGCUGUAUGAACAAACUUUGUUACGUCUUCACUAAUUUGCGACUUCAAGCCCGAACCCCUGCUUUGUCAGUUCUCCAAAAAUGUAUUGUUUCUUUUUUCUGAAACAGCCGCCUGCUUUGGUCAUUUCUUUGAGUCGCAUAUUUUUAUGGGUUCCCGUAUGUACACAAUUAAA